GCUGUGACUGCCUCCAUUCAGUCGCUGCAAAGAACUACAUAGCGCUGCCAGCUGGAAGGAACGUCACAUUAGGUUAUGAUGUGUCAGAGCCUACGACGAAAGAGCGCCAGGCAAAACAAUGAACAAGUGAGCCAGGAGGCUGGGCCCCUGUGAAAUUCUAGACUUCUGCAGGCCUCCAGGACGUGACAUGUUACCAGGAGGGCAGAAAUUCACGCCGAGGAACGGCUAAAAACGUGGACUAUCCCAACCCAUUUCUCGAGGCAAUUCCACUCGGUGACGAUUUUUUGGGCCCCAACCCGUGGAGGAAGGAGCAAAGGAACGGCGCCUGGAUUUUCUGGAGAACCUAUGAUGUCAACGUUCUCUUUGAAGCCGAUGUACUCCGAGGACAUCUUAGAAAUGUGCUUAGAAGUGAAUUGCUGGAAUUCAUGAUGGUCAAUAGGGGAAAAAUAAGUGGGGGAAAUAGGAUGGUGGAUGCUUCGCCUAUUGUCUCCCAUAGCUUUGCCUAUGAACACACACACUGACCUGCCAUUUUCCACACACAACCCUGUGUGCAGUCAGUCCGUUGCGAGGGGGGAUUUACAAACUUUCAGAGUCUUCUGCUACACCUUGGAGAGAAUCCAAAAACCCUGGGACAAUUAUAUUCAUUCAGUUCUGCCGUGAAGGAACCAUGACCAUUAAUUUUCUCCAAAAUGGAGCGGAGAAGUUUGCAAAGCUUUAGCUUUGUACUGAACAUGUUUGAACAAAACAGAAGACGAGUCUUUGAAAAACCAAAGAAAACACAUAUUUAUACACACACAAAGCAAGAAAAGGGGGGAGGGUGUAGAAGAAAGAACGUACAGUACUUGUAUAACGUGAGACGGAGAGUUACAAUUUCUUGGCUAAAUUUGCAUUCCAGGGGGGAAUUAUAUGCAGUUAAUGCUAAAAUAUCCCCGUACGGGGCAUUCUGCUUUCCCUUGAUGGCUCAAAAUCUAUGUUCCUUGCCCAGCAUGUUGAUGGAAUGAGAGAAUUCCCUUCCAACCCUAUAUUUAUUAUAGGGGCUUUCGUGGCGAGUGACGGGCAGACCCAACAGAUUUCCUUGUUGAUGGAAGGGCUAGAAAUGCUAAUAUAAAGAUUACUGCGGGAAUCUGUCAUGGGGAUUCUGCAGCGGUGUGGGGAGCAACUGGUCCGAAAAGCCAAAAUUACAGACUAUUUAUGGACAAAGAAAAUUCAGUGGUGGAACCACCAAUGGGCUGAAAUGCGAGGAAGAAUAAAGAGAUGCCACAAAAGCCACCAGUGGCAGGAAGAUGGAAAGGAUACCUAUGGUUUGUGUGUGUUUUAAAAUGUUUCCUUUAAAAUAACAACACAUACUACAAAUAAAUCAUUACACCAGAUGGGUAUGUUGAGGAAGUUAUAAAUAUAUCUGGGCACCCAAAGAGCUACUUUUGGAUUGCCGGUCUUCUAGUGUGCUUAUGAAAUGUUAACUUCCACAGCUUCCUAUUGACUUUGUUGGCUGUGUGAACCCCUUUAACUAUCCCUGUGUAGAUAUUCCGGGGUGCUAUCCCACCCCCGCACUGUUUGUAUGCCCAAAUUCGCAUGAAAAUAUACUUACAUGUCCCCACAGUAGUGAAUUAAGAUCUACACUUUAAAAAAAAAGGUUUUACACACAGUUCAUACAUUAGGGAUGCAAUCUUAUGCCCAUUUACCUGGGAGUAGGUACCACUGAACUUAGUGGGGCUUACUUCUGAGUAGUCAUUCUUAGAAUUGCACUGUAAAUGCUGCAAUCCUAUACUUGCAAAAGGAGCAAACCUUGCCGACUUCAGUAGGACUUACUUCUGAUCAGAGUGUAUAGAACUGUGCUAUAACUCUGUUUAUAAACAGUAUAUAUUUUAGUGGAAACAUGUUUAUUUCUAAUUUUUGUAGGGGUGAGAAGAUAUAUGAAUUUGCAUCACCGGGUUCUAGCACUUUACAAAUGGAAGGUAUUGGAUUCAUGUCUUAAUCGGGUCAGGCUGGUUUCUGGACUUUUGACAGAAAUAUCAUACAGCAUGGAAAAAAUCCGUCCAGGUGACAAAAGUUCUCUAACAAUAAUGUACUGGGGGAAAUAAACUUACCGCUCUCAUAGACUUUCUGUCUCCUACACUAGAUAAUACCUAAGUUCCAAAGGAACAAUCAGUAUAAUAUUGACAAUUGUUCCCAAACAAUUGAUGGGCUUUGAUUUAAUUAUUUUAAAAACACACCCCUCAUUUCUAAAUCAGAUCAUAUACUUUGCAAUCAAACUAAUAAAGAAUUUGGCAUUUGCUUCCUC